AUCGAGCUGACGAGUCCCAAAUAGGACGAAACGUACAACCUCGAU
rnacentral:hammerhead_ribozyme from 1 species